CAGUCGCCGCGGGAAUACAGAGGGUGCGAGCGUUAAUCGGAUUUACUGGGCGUAAAGCGUGCGUAGGCGGAUUCUUAAGUCGGAUGUGAAAUCCCUGAGCUUAACUUAGGAAUUGCAUUCGAUACUGGGAAGCUAGAGUAUGGGAGAGGAUGGUAGAAUUCCAGGUGUAGCGGUGAAAUGCGUAGAGAUCUGGAGGAAUACCGAUGGCGAAGGCAGCCAUCUGGCCUAAUACUGACGCUGAGGUACGAAAGCAUGGGGAGCAAACAGGAUUAGAUACCCGGGUAGUCCCUGUCUCUUAUAC
rnacentral:rRNA from 1 species